rnacentral:lncRNA from 1 species
AUGCCCACCUGGGGACGUGUUACAUGGCAUGGGUCUCCCUGGUGGGUCACACCAUGCCUCGCUGGCCAAGGACAGCCUCCUGCUCCAGGUGCUGGGCUCAACACUGGGCCACGAGCUCUGCGUGCCUGCAAGAUCUUCUUGCCCUUGACUUUUAAGAACAAAAAAUACAGGAAACAAGAAGACAAGCAGAGUCUGCCUAUAAAAAAGUGAAUAAAAGAGCAACUCAGCCAGAGGAAGCAGAACAAAUAAGAAGAUAAAGAAGCACUUUUGGAAACGGAAGUCUUGACCAACAAGGGUGAAAUUCACCUUAGUAUUAUAGCAUCUGAUAAGGAAGGGCUAAAAGAUGUUUUGGUUGGGGAAGACUUUAAGUGUUUUAGAGGUACAAGACGUACAAAGAAUGCUUUCACAAAGAGUGCAAAGGUUGAAAAAUAUAAUAUGUAUGACUUUGUGUCUGAAAUACUCAGUUUUUCACAAAGUUUUGUGAACUAUUUACUGUCAUCUCCCAUCUUGCACACAAUAUCUGAAACUUAAAUAAAUACAUCUAAGCCUCCA